GCUAACUACGUGCCAGCAGCCGCGGUAAAACGUAGGAGGCGAGCGUUAUCCGGAUUUACUGGGCGUAAAGCGCGUGCAGGCGGAUUGGAGAGUUGGAUGUGAAAGCUCCCGGCUUAACUGGGAGAGGUCGUUCAAUACUUCCAGUCUUGAGUGCAGUAGAGGGAAGUGGAAUUCCGGGUGUAGUGGUGAAAUGCGUAGAUAUCCGGAGGAACACCAGUGGCGAAAGCGGCUUCCUGGACUGUAACUGACGCUCAGACGCGAAAGCUAGGGUAGCAAACGGGAUUAGAUACCCCGGUAGUC
rnacentral:rRNA from 1 species